AACGCCCUACUGUGUUCGUGAAGCUGCCGAUAAGUUUUGAGCCAACACCAACACAUAGGGAGCCUGGACUCUGGCUGUGGCUGAUAUGCCCCCAGCGAGGGGACAUCAAAGACACUCAGGAGGGCACCCACCUGCCGAGAGCAGGUUCAAAACAUCGGCCCCACGGCAUGGGUGGGGUUUCC
rnacentral:other from 1 species